AACUGCGGCAGCUUUGAGCUGUCCUUAAAGCAGGAGGCAACGUGGACCUUGCUGGACUGGAUCAAGGGGGAGCCCUGGGACUCCCUGGUGUAUGGGGUGUUCCAGGCCCUGGAGGAGUUGAGCAAGCUGAGGCCACCUCUGAGGCGG